CGCGUUCACCCCCGCACCGCUUCUUCUUCGUCUAUUGGUUUAAUGAAGAAUGGAUCGAAAGCUUUUAGCGCAACGCCCCCUGCAAAUAUGGUGUAACUGCUCCAGGAUUUGAAGAUGGGUCGGGUGUAUCCUUCGUUGUCCACGCUAUCCCAGGAUUCAUAGCACGGCAGAAGACUUAUCACACAUUUGAUUUACAUAUCUGAAACCUGCAAGUGUCCGGUCAGGACUGAGGAGCCCACUGCUGCAAAUCAUCUGUGAGGUUUUGCACCGCUGAUGAUCCACCAGGACAAACUCAGCAGUGUGUGAGGAAGAGCCAGCACCAGCUGAGAGAUGGAGAGAAUAGACAGAUUGUUCCCUCUGUGCGAAGGACUGAAAGGUUUAAAAUAACUAAUUAUCUGUCCUGAAUCAGUCUUAUUAGGUGAUAUUUAAAAUAAUUUUAUCAUUCAAGCGUUUUCAG